GCUUGAAACCCACAUGUUUUGAACGGACGGAUUGUUUUGGUUGCAUAAGGCGAAGAAUGGCCCAUUUACCCAAGGAUUUCAGCAAACAAGUAGAAUCGUACGACAUACUUUGACUAUGAGUUCAAGAUGACAAUGAUGAGAACAAAAGUGCAAAAGAUAAACCUUACAUGUACUAAUAAAUUGCAAUAAUUGACUGCAGAAUGUAUGAACAGUUGGUAAUCCACAGGCUUUGUGUCAAAAUACUUCGUUUUCAACACAUAUUUUAUCGUCAUCCAGAAAACAUGGAAAACAAUGUGUUCAGGGCAACAGUUAACUUCCCAACCAGACAUUCCACAGUGUGAUCAUGGUGAUGUCAAACAGCAUGUUAAAAACAUUAAUUUGAUUAAAUAUUUCUUUUUA